rnacentral:lncRNA from 1 species
AAAAUAGAUUUUUCAGUGAUUCUUUUUUCUUAUGUUUAAUAUUACUGUGUUUUAUCAUUAUAUUCAACCGGUACUAAAGGCCUUGCGCUGCCACCCCAAAGUUUUUUUAUUUUCUGCAUUAUUUAUUUUCUUCUAUUUAUUUUCUUCUGGAAAUUGAAUGCUGCAUACCAUGCCAAGUUUCAAAAUUUUCAGGAUUCAUUUUGUAAGUCCAGUUAACAUGGAUGCUUAUGAUGCAAGAGCAACAGCAAAAGUGAAAAUUUGGCACAAAUAGGUAGUUGUGUAACUAAAAUAGGUAGGAGGAGAGAUAGCUCUUAUGUCACAAAAAAGAAAUUGUAUCAAACCUUUUAUGUCGGAUCUAGAACAAACCAAUCGGUAUCGCCAUCAUACAGCCCAACCGUGGCUCGCGAUGCAUAUAUAUGCAUAUCAAAUGCACGGUUGGACGUAUGAUGGCGAAUCCGAAUGAUUUGUAUUCAGUUGAUGAACUGGUAGAUGUAUGCAAUCGAUGAACUGGUAGAUGUAUGUAGUCGAUGAACUGAAAGACUUAUGCAGGGAAGGCGAGAGGUGGGCGAUAUAUAGGAUCGUCUGGCUCACAAAGUGAUUGUGGUAGUUUCGAUCCAACGACUCACAUGAGCUAGGAAGAAACACACCCUUGAUCCAACGACUCGCAAGAGCUAGAAAGAAACACACGAUCCGUGUGAUUCUUCCUGAUUGGUGGGAUGCACAUUAGUACCCUCUCUACUCUUCCGUGCAUGCUAUGCGAGUGAUAUGAUGAUACCAUGCCAAGUUUCAACAUUUUCAGGAUUCAUUUUGUAGUGAUUUUCAAUUUCACGGUCAUUUAGCUCUCUAAACAAUUAGG